rnacentral:rRNA from 1 species
AUUGAACGCUGGCGGCAGGCCUAACACAUGCAAGUCGAGCGGAGCGGCGGACGGGUGAGUAAUGUCUAGGAAUCUGCCUGGUGGAGGGGGAUAACGACCGGAAACGGGCGCUAAUACCGCAUACUAUCAGAUGAGCCUAGGUCGGAUUAGCUAGUGGGUGGGGUAACGGCUCACCAAGGCGACGAUCCCUAACUGGUCUGAGAGGAUGAUCAGCCACACUGGAACUGAGACACGGUCCAGACUCCUACGGGAGGCAGCAGUGGGGAAUAUUGGACAAUGGGCGAAAGCCUGAUACAGCCAUGCCGCGUGUGUGAAGAAGGUCUUCGGAUUGUAAAGCACUGUAAGUUGGGAGGCGUUACCAAAAGAAUAAGCACCGGCUAACUACGUGCCAGCAGCCGCGGUAAUUC